CCUACGGGAGGCAGCAGUGAGGAAUAUUGGUCAAUGGGCGGGAGCCUGAACCAGCCAAGCCGCGUGAGGGAAGAAGGUACAGCGUAUCGUAAACCUCUUUUGUCAGGGAACAAAGGCGGGGACUAGUCCCCGGAUGAGGGUACCUGAAGAAAAAGCAUCGGCUAACUCCGUGCCAGCAGCCGCGGUAAUACGGAGGAUGCGAGCGUUAUCCGGAUUUAUUGGGUUUAAAGGGUGCGCAGGCGGUCUGUUAAGUCAGCGGUAAAAGCCCGGGGCUCAACCCCGGCCCGCCGUUGAAACUGGCGGGC
rnacentral:rRNA from 1 species